GUCCAGGUCGUCCAACGGUAGGACACCCCAUUUGCGGUUCGCCACCACCCACAGGGUGGUGACGAACCGCACCAUCCCGGGGGAGGUCGGGGUUCAAUUCCCCGCUUGGGCG